CAGCAAUGCCGCGUGAGUGAUGAAGGCCUUAGGGUUGUAAAGCUCUUUUACCCGGGAUGAUAAUGACAGUACCGGGAGAAUAAGCUCCGGCUAACUCCGUGCCAGCAGCCGCGGUAAUACGGAGGGAGCUAGCGUUAUUCGGAAUUACUGGGCGUAAAGCGCACGUAGGCGGCUUUGUAAGUUAGAGGUGAAAGCCUGGAGCUCAACUCCAGAAUUGCCUUUAAGACUGCAUCGCUUGAAUCCAGGAGAGGUGAGUGGAAUUCCGAGUGUAGAGGUGAAAUUCGUAGAUAUUCGGAAGAACACCAGUGGCGAAGGCGGCU
rnacentral:rRNA from 1 species